rnacentral:rRNA from 1 species
AUGGAGAGGAUACAAAAACUUGUAAAUGGAUGGAAAGAGAGAACCCUCUCAUUUGGAGGAAAGCAGGCCUUACUGAAAGCAGUGGCCCAAAUCAUCCCUACAUACACGAUGAGUGUGUUUAAAUUCCCUAAAAAAUGUAAGGGGAUCACUGAUGCAAUGUCAUAGUAUUGGUGGGGUGACGAGGAUGACCAGUGAAGGAUGCAUUGGUUUGCAUGAUGAAAAAUAUGUGUGCCAAAGGAACGAGGAGGUAUGGGUUUUCAUGACGUUCAUAGUUUUAAUUUGGUGAUGCUAGCAAAACAGUGCUGGAGGUUGAUUGACAACAAUGAAUCAUUGUGUGCCAGAGUGUUGGGAUCUUGA